GUGAAUAUAUAGGGGGCGGCUGCUAUAGUGUUUUGGGAAUCUUUAGCAUAACGACGAAAAGAAAUUUGGGACUGGUUAAUUUACACGUGUUGCACAAAGGUGGAAAAUUAUGUCUGAAAAAUUAUUGGGCUUUCAGUCAGAGCUCGCUGCUCUUAUGAAAGUUUUAGUCAAAGCGGUUGUGAGUGAAACAACAAAACAUUUUGAGUUAAGCGUCAUCCAUCCGAAGGUUGAGACAGCUAAUAUCAAAAAAGAACGAAAAACUCAGGGUGAAGCUUUUUAGAGGAUGCUGGAGGCUGCUUCAAACCUGAGAGUGUAGACGGCGAGAAAUGUGAACGUAUCACCCAUGUGUGUUAUAUUGGCUUAAUCUGUAAUCAGGACGGCAGUCAGCUUUCUUCAUUUUAAAUGCCCUUUUCUGUUUGUACUCCUGAAUUAAAUGUUUAGAAUUAAAUUGUUUUACUAGGUAAAACUAACAUAAAUAUGUUUAGCGACACUUGCGAAGGGCUCGGAUUAUAAACCCUGUAGACGAAAAACAGACCGAAGGACAUUAUAAGCAUAUUACACCAAAAUGUGUUCCUUCACUUGCAUUUAAUAAAAUCUGUUGCUGCUGCGACACCGGCUGGGAACCGUGAUGCUUCUACAUGGGAGGAGCAUCGCUUUAAAGAAAACACACGUCAUGUGCUCUGCAGCAAAAUGACAAAGAGCAGGCAGGUGUGGAUCUACAGGAACUCCUGCUCCACCCCAAGCCACAAGCCUCUGCCCUGUGUUCCGGGAUCAUGAUUGGAAUCCACGACUUCACCAUCUUUGACAUGACAUUCCACUACGUCACAAUUUAUCUGCGACGUGAGGGCGAAGUUGGUCUCCCUGCCGACGAUUUUGCUUCAUUCGUAGCUCACGUUCGUGAAGCAAACCAACCUUGAAAGGGGUCACAUACAAAUGGCGUGUGAUUGAGUAGACAGCAUGAUUGAGAGGAGGUUACAAGACUGAAACAUGAAACAUUUAUGUUCCAGUUGAGAAUGCAGGGAGCUCGCUCCAGUUCCAAUUCUGUGUGAGGUAUGUGGGUAAACUUUCUUUAGGCACUUAAGCAAUCUGAAGCUGUGUAAAUCAAUCUGAACUGGAAAAACCUCUGCAGAUCCUACGGUGCAUGACCUCAGCUAUUUUACCACACACGUAUUACUCAAUAGCCUGGACACAACCACCCAUAGAAAGGCUUAAUUGCAAUAUCCUCUGCAUUUUAGCAUAAAGACAUCAUCCAUCUAUCCAUCCAUUUUCCAAAACUGUACUCUUUGCACAUGUACUCUUCAUUGGAGGUGAUUAACAGACUUGACCAUAUUCAGGGUGCUGAGGAGUCAGGAGCAUAUCCUGAAGGCUACUGGUUCAAGGCAGGGAACAACCCAGGAGGGGGUGCCAACCCAGCAAAAAGACAUUAAAACUAUAAAAUAACAUAUGGAAUUAUUCACUUACCAAAAACGUAUUAAACAAAAAAUAAUAAUUAGAUGGGGGAGCAGCUCUAUGGGUUGGGACUCAGAAUGUCGGCAGUUCAAACAACAACAACAAAACAACAAAUUUAUUUUUGUAUAGCUCAUUAUCAUAACAUUACAUCGUCUCAAAGCGCUUUACAGCAUCCGCACCCAAAGCCCCCAGUGAGUAACCCAGAGGCGACAGUGGCAAGGAAAAACUCCUAAGAAGGAAGAAACCUUGGGAGGGACCAGACUCAAAGGGGGAGUCCAUCCUCCAGGGGGCAGCAGAGGAAGCCCUAACCCUAACCAGACCCAAAGGGGGAGCCCAUCCUCCAGGGGGCAGCAGAGGAAGCCCUAACCCUAACCAGACCCAAAGGGGGAGCCCGUCCUCCAGGGGGCAGCAGAGGAAGCCCUAACCCUAACCAGACCCAAAGGGGGAGCCCAUCCUCCAGGGGGCAGCAGAGGAAGCCCUAACCCUAACCAGACCCAAAGGGGGAGACCAUCUUCCAGGGGGCAGCAGAGGAAGCCCUAACCCUAACCAGACCCAAAGGGGGAGCCCAUCCUCCAGGGGGCAGCAGAGGAAGCCCUAACCCUAACCAGACCCAAAGGGGCCGGCAGGGAUAGUCAAAUAGGAGAGAUGGUUAAGUGCCAAGUCACACUGUCCCAAUCAUAAGAUUUGAACCCCUGGGUCGGUAGAGUGAUCCUACCAUUGAGCCCUUGAGCGAGGCCCUUAAGCCCAAUUCAUUCAGGGACCGGCUGACCCUACUGUUUCUACGCCAGUUGGUUUCUUGUUAUUCUUUUCCAGCUGUCUUGAAGGAGAGGCCACAUAUCCUAAGUACUCAUUGUUCGCUCUGCCUUCACUCUCUGGUCAAACUCUUCCAAAACCAUUUCUCCUGUGUUUAGGUCAGGUGGCCAGACACUGCCGCGCUCUUUUGUUGGCAGCUUGGCACGUCCAGAUUUUUGACUGUUACUGUACAUACUUGCCGAUUAUUGCCUUCUGUGUUGGAUAUGUAACCAGUUAAAACCUGACUUUUGAUCUCCUCCGUCUCUGUCCACUGUCCCUCGUUCCUCUUCCUAUUUUUUUUCCAUCCGUCUGUUCUCUAGGUACAAUACGGACGGUACUAUGGAGUAAAAAAAAAGAAAAGAAAGCCACUCAUUUGCUGGGAACUGUAUCCCUUCCCACCUCUAUGGAAGAAGAGCACUGUGACCACACUAACCAUCCAGACAGGCCAUUAAGCAGCUACGAUCAAACAGCUGCAAGACCUGAAACAUAGUAAUUCCCAAGGACUUAAACUUUAUUUUAUGAUGGACUUCACUGAGUAAUCAGCAGUUGCAUGGGCACAUGGCUGAUUAUCUGUUCUGAUCAUUGUAUUAUUUUAUAUGGUUAGAUGACAGGGACAGCAAUUUCAGCUGCCUGGGCGAUCUGGAGUGACACCAGUGUAUUCACACCCGGGAAAGAUCUUACGGAUGCCUCCCUCGUAGCAUUUUGUGACAUAAAUGACAAUGCUGGAUUUGGACUCCAAGAGAAAUGGCCUUAUACAUGGUAAAUACUUUAUCAGCUCAGUUUCAUAUAGAAAAUGUAUACCACUGUUUUCAAUAACAUUGCUGUUAUGUACAGAUUGACCUUUUCGUUUAUUUAAUGCAUAUAAUGUGACAUUAAUAAAAGUAAAAUGUUAUA